rnacentral:rRNA from 1 species
GAUGAACGCUAGCGGCAGGCUUAAUACAUGCAAGUCGAGGGGCAGCAGUUUUGUAGCAAUACAGAAGCUGGCGACCGGCAAACGGGUGCGGAACACGUACGCAACCUUCCUUUAACUGGAAGAUAGCCCACCGAAAGGUGGAUUAAUACUCCAUAACAUAUUGAAGAGGCAUCUUUUUGAUAUUAAAGCUCCGGCGGUUAAAGAUGGGCGGGCGUCUGGUUAGGUAGUUGGCGGGGUAACGGCCCACCAAGCCUUCGAUCAGUAGCUGAUGUGAGAGCAUGAUCAGCCACACGGGCACUGAGACACGGGCCCGACUCCUACGGGAGGCAGCAGUAAGGAAUAUUGGUCAAUGGACGCAAGUCUGAACCAGCCAUGCCGCGUGGAGGAUGAAGGCCCUCUGGGUUGUAAACUUCUUUUCUUUGGGACGAAACCCCUGUUUCUACGGGGACUGACGGUACCAGAGGAAUAAGCACCGGCUAACUUCGUGCCAGCCGCCGCGGUAAAAC